AGGACGAACGCUGGCGGCGUGCUUAACACAUGCAAGUCGAGCGGUAAGGCCUUUCGGGGUACACGAGCGGCGAACGGGUGAGUAACACGUGGGUGAUCUGCCCUGCACUCUGGGAUAAGCCUGGGAAACUGGGUCUAAUACCGGAUAUGACCUGCUCUCGCAUGGGGGUGGGUGGAAAGAUUUAUCGGUGCAGGAUGGGCCCGCGGCCUAUCAGCUUGUUGGUGGGGUAAUGGCCUACCAAGGCGACGACGGGUAGCCGACCUGAGAGGGUGACCGGCCACACUGGGACUGAGACACGGCCCAGACUCCUACGGGAGGCAGCAGUGGGGAAUAUUGCACAAUGGGCGAAAGCCUGAUGCAGCGACGCCGCGUGAGGAUGAAGGCCUUCGGGUUGUAAACCUCUUUCAGCAGGACGAAGCGCGAAGUGACGGUACCUGCAGAAGAAGCGACCGCUAACUACGUGCCAGCAGCCGC
rnacentral:rRNA from 1 species